rnacentral:rRNA from 1 species
GUAGGUGGCAAGCGUUGUCCGGAAUUAUUGGGGCGUAAAGCGCGCGCAGGCGGCUCUUUAAGUCUGAUGUGAAAGCCCACGGGCUCAACCGUGGAGGGUCAUUGGAAACUGGAGAACUUGAGUACAGAAGAGGAAAGCGGAAUUCCACGUGUAGCGGUGAAAUGCGUAGAGAUGUGGAGGAACACCAGUGGCGAAGGCGGCUUUCUGGUCUGUAACUGACGCUGAGGCGCGAAAGCGUGGGGAGCAAACAGGAUUAGAUACCCUGGUAGUCCACGCCGUAAACGAUGAGUGCUAAGUGUUAGGGGGUUUCCGCCCCUUAGUGCUGCAGCUAACGCAUUAAGCACUCCGCCUGGGGAGUACGGCCGCAAAGGCUGA